UACGUAGGGUGCAAGCGUUGUCCGGAUUUAUUGGGCGUAAAGAGCUCGUAGGCGGCUUGGUAAGUCGGAUGUGAAACCUCCAGGCUCAACCUGGAGUCGCCAUCCGAUACUGCCAUGGCUAGAGUCCGGUAGGGGCCCACGGAAUUCCUGGUGUAGCGGUGAAAUGCGCAGAUAUCAGGAGGAACACCAAUAGCGAAGGCAGCUCGCUGGGACGUUACUGACACUAAGGCGCGAAAGCGUGGGGAGCGAACAGG
rnacentral:rRNA from 1 species